AACAUUUUAAUCACUUAAUAGUGUUUGUUUAAAACCUAUUUUAUAGGGUAAGGUAGGUGUACACAGUGAAAUUAUUAUAUAAAUAAUGAUUUACUUUUGUUUACACAAGCUUUUAUCCCUGUUUUUUCUAGCAUUUGCAAAGUUUGGUGUCCCAGCUGUAACAGAAGGUGUGAAAAUUGUUGACAGUUCAGGGACUGAAUUGGAUGAUGAUGUUUUUGAGGAUAUUAUAAAGGAUCCCUCAACUGGGGUGCUAACCAUCAAAUAUGACUCAGAAUCUGUCUCCAUGGUGGCCUCUUCUGAGCAAUCCCAACCAUCAUCCCUUGAUACCUUGGACUCUGAGGAUACAGUCAUUAUUUCAGAUAGCCCCUCCAGAAAACGCCAGAGGCUGGAUACAGAAGCCAAGCAAUUGGUGGAAUCAGCUCUUACCAACAAAACCGGUGGG